CCUACGGGAGGCAGCAGUGGGGAAUUUUGGACAAUGGACGCAAGUCUGAUCCAGCCAUGCCGCGUGCGGGAAGAAGGCCUUCGGGUUGUAAACCGCUUUUGUCAGGGAAGAAAAGGUUCUGGUUAAUACCUGGGACUCAUGACGGUACCUGAAGAAUAAGCACCGGCUAACUACGUGCCAGCAGUCGCGGUAAUACGUAGGGUGCAAGCGUUAAUCGGAAUUACUGGGCGUAAAGCGUGCGCAGGCGGUUAUGCAAGACAGAGGUGAAAUCCCCGGGCUCAACCUGGGAACUGCCUUUGUGACUGCAUAGCUAGAGUACGGUAGAGGGGGAUGGAAUUCCGCGUGUAGCAGUGAAAUGCGUAGAUAUGCGGAGGAACACCGAUGGCGAAGGCAAUCCCCUGGACCUGUACUGACGCUCAUGCACGAAAGCGUGGGGAGCAAACAGGAUUAGAUACCCUGGUAGUCCACGCCCUAAACGAUGUCAACUGGUUGUUGGGAGGGUUUCUUCUCAGUAACGUAGCUAACGCGUGAAGUUGACCGCCUGGGGAGUACGGCCGCAAGGUUGAAACUCAAAGGAUUGACGG
rnacentral:rRNA from 1 species